rnacentral:rRNA from 1 species
AUUUAUUGGAGAGUUUGAUCCUGGCUCAGGACGAACGCUGGCGGCGUGCCUAAUACAUGCAAGUCGAGCGGACAGAGAUGAGAGCUUGCUCUUAUCAAAGUUAGCGGCGGACGGGUGAGUAACACGUGGGCAACCUGCCUGUAAGACUGGGAUAACUUCGGGAAACCGAAGCUAAUACCG